rnacentral:rRNA from 1 species
AUUGAACGCUGGCGGCAGGCCUAACACAUGCAAGUCGAGCGAGCGGCGGACGGGUGAGUAAUGUAUGGGGACUGCCCGAUAGAGGGGGAUAACUACUGGAAACGGUAGAUAAUACCGCAUACUAUCGGAUAACCCAUAUGGGAUUUGCUAGUAGUUGAGGUAAUGGUUCACCUAGGCGACGAUCCCUAGCUGGUCUGAGAGGAUGAUCAGCCACACUGUGAAUGAGAUACGGUUCCGACUCCUACGGAGGCGGGAGUGGUGAUGAUUGCACAACGUGUGCAAGCCUGAUGCAGGCAGGCUGAGUGGAUGAAGAAGGCCUUAGUGUAGUAAAGUACUUCCAGUAGGGAGGAGUUACCUACAGAAGAAGCACCGGCUAAAUCCGUGCCAGCAGCCGCGGUAAUAC